GAUCCUGGCUCAGAGUGAACGCUGGCGGUAGGCCUAACACAUGCAAGUCGAACGGCAGCACAGAGGAGCUUGCUCCUUGGGUGGCGAGUGGCGGACGGGUGAGGAAUACAUCGGAAUCUACUCUGUCGUGGGGGAUAACGUAGGGAAACUUACGCUAAUACCGCAUACGACCUACGGGUGAAAGCAGGGGAUCUUCGGACCUUGCGCGAUUGAAUGAGCCGAUUUCGGAUUAGCUAGUUGGCGGGGUAAA
rnacentral:rRNA from 1 species